UACGGGGGGUGCGAGCGUUGUCCGGAAUCACUGGGCGUAAAGGGCGCGUAGGCGGCCUGAUAAGUAGGGGGUGAAAUCCUGCGGCUUAACCGCAGGGCUGCCUUCUAAACUGUCGGGCUUGAGCACAGUAGAGGCAGGUGGAAUUCCCGGUGUAGCGGUGGAAUGCGUAGAGAUCGGGAAGAACAUCAGUGGCGAAGGCGGCCUGCUGGGCUGUUGCUGACGCUGAGGCGCGACAGCGUGGGGAGCAAACAGG
rnacentral:rRNA from 1 species